UACAGAGGUCUCAAGCGUUGUUCGGAUUCAUUGGGCGUAAAGGGUGCGUAGGUGGCGCCGUAAGUCAGGUGUGAAAUUUCGGAGCUUAACUCCGAAACUGCAUUUGAUACUGCGGUGCUUGAGGACUGGAGAGGAGACUGGAAUUCACGGUGUAGCAGUGAAAUGCGUAGAUAUCGUGAGGAAGACCAGUGGCGAAGGCGGGGUCUCUGGACAGUUCCUGACACUGAGGCACGAAG
rnacentral:rRNA from 1 species